AUGGGCCAGACCGCUAGAUGUGCUGGGGCGAAAGCGGGGCAGGAAGCCAAGGAGGAGGGAAGAGAAGGAUGGGGAGAAAAGCCAGGAAGCCAAGGAGGAGGGAAGAGAAGGAUGGGGAGAAAAGCCAGGAAGCCAAGGAGGAGGGAAGAGAAGGAUGGGGAGAAAAGCAGGGAAGCCAAGGAGGAGGGAAGAGAAGGAUGGGGAGAAAAGCCAGGAAGCCAAGGAGGAGGGAAGAGAAGGAUGGGGAGAAAAGCCAGGAAGCCAAGGAGGAGAAAAGAGAAGGAUGGGGAGAAAAGUUGGGAAGCCAAGGAGGAGAGAAGAGAAGGAUGGGGAGAAAAGCCGGGAAGCCAAGGAGGAGGGAAGAGAAGGAUGGGGAGAAAAGCCAGGAAGCCAAGGAGGAGAGAAGAGAAGGAUGGGGAGAAAAGCAGGGAAGCCAAGGAGGAGGGAAGAGAAGGAUGGGGAGAAAAGCCAGGAAGCCAAGGAGGAGGGAAGAGAAGGAUGGGGAGAAAAGCCAGGAAGCCAAGGAGGAGAAAAGAGAAGGAUGGGGAGAAAAGUUGGGAAGCCAAGGAGGAGAAAAGAGAAGGAUGGGGAGAAAAGCAGGGAAGCCAAGGAGGAGAAAAGAGAAGGAUGGGGAGAAAAGCCAGGAAGCCAAGGAGGAGGGAAGAGAAGGAUGGGGAGAAAAGCCAGGAAGCCAAGGAGGAGGGAAGAGAAGGAUGGGGAGAAAAGCCAGGAAGCCAAGGAGGAGGGAAGAGAAGGAUGGGGAGAAAAGUCGGGAAGCCAAGGAGGAGGGAAGAGAAGGAUGGGGAGAAAAGCUGGGAGAGAAGAUGCUCCCGGGGCUCUGGGAACAGCUCACGGGCUCAUCUGCCCAUCUCGCUCCCAUCUUCCCCUGCUCCAGGCAGCCCACACUGGCACUGGUCCAUGACUGCCCUGGGAAGGGGUUCUGCUGUCUCCAUGACCUGCUUGCUUUCAGACUGGCGGAUGCCCUCUGGAAAGGAGGGCACGUUGGAGGCAGGGAGGCUUGGGGAGCCCCAGCAGUGUCCUUCCCAAGGACAGUGGUGGGAGAGCAGGAGAUGGAUUACUCCAGACCACAGUCCUGCUGCCCGAUGCCAUGAGUGA
rnacentral:lncRNA from 1 species